rnacentral:rRNA from 1 species
GAUGAACGCUGGCGGCGUGCCUAAUACAUGCAAGUCGAGCGAACGGACGAGAAGCUUGCUUCUCUGAUGUUAGCGGCGGACGGGUGAGUAACACGUGGAUAACCUACCUAUAAGACUGGGAUAACUUCGGGAAACCGGAGCUAAUACCGGAUAAUAUUUUGAACCGCAUGGUUCAAAAGUGAAAGACGGUCUUGCUGUCACUUAUAGAUGGAUCCGCGCUGCAUUAGCUAGUUGGUAAGGUAACGGCCUACCAAGGCAACGAUGCAUAGCCGACCUGAGAGGGUGAUCGGCCACACUGGAACUGAGACACGGUCCAGACUCCUACGGGAGGCAGCAGUAGGGAAUCUUCCGCAAUGGGCGAAAGCCUGACGGAGCAACGCCGCGUGAGUGAUGAAGGUCUUCGGAUCGUAAAACUCUGUUAUUAGGGAAGAACAUAUGUGUAAGUAACUGUGCACAUCUUGACGGUACCUAAUCAGAAAGCCGCGGCUAACUACGUG